rnacentral:lncRNA from 1 species
GUUAAAAAUGAUACUUCAAGAGUAUCAAAAGCUAUGCAUGGGUUCUAUCAGUAAAAUGAGUUGAUAAGUGAUGACUGGAUCGAAUUUGUGGCUAAGGUCUCAUCAAAGAGCAAUGAGAAUUCAGUUGGCAAUUAUUGAAAAUAGGUGGGUGGUCUACAAUAGUAUGAUGACCUGUGUAAUAGAACACACAAGUAGAGAGGAAAAUUGUACACUUGCAUUUCUCUUUACAAAAAGUACAGAAAUAAGUACCCUCUCAAAUCCUUAAUAAUUAGCUUAAGAAUCAAUAUGCAAUGUAUUGUAAGUAUAGAUUUAUACUGGGAAGUGGGAACAUCCAUUUUCUUUUCUGGUGCUUAGUUUAUUCAUUUUUUAUUGUAGGUAUAAUAAGUCAACAGUAAAAAGUAAAGCCAAUUUUUGUUAUACAUUCUUAGUAGUUUAGCUUUGGGGCUUUGUUUAUUUAUCUUUUUCAAUGAUGAUAUUUAAAUGUGGUCAGAGUAUUACAAUACCGCUAAAAGCAAUAAUAUAUUUGAGUAAGAGUACUAUCAUUUACUUUUAUUAUAUAUUUUUAGAAGGAUGAAGCUAGCGGUAGAUAUUCUAUAGAAGCUUUGGACUCCUUAGUACAAUUCAAUUUUUCUAAAAAAAAAUUGAGCAAAUGGAAAAAGAACGAAAAUCUAAUACAUGACAUCAGAUUAUUCGAAUCAUAACCAUUAUUUGCCUAGAAUAAAGAACCUAGAUGUACUUCUCUUGGAUUAUCAAUUUUUUUGUCUGCAGAUAUUUAUUAUGAUUGCAUUAUUUUUUAUUCCUAUUGUGUAGUGGUGGAUAGUUUAUCAUGGAUUUUGUAAGUGAAUCGAAG